CUGAAGUCUGAGUCUGGUGAUUUAAACGAUCUCGUGUUGAACUGGAAAGCUGAGUAACAGUCGGAUUUCUAGGAUCAACAAAGCUUGCAGUAAGAAGAAACAAAAUUUACUUUCCACCUUCGGACUAUCCAGGAAGGUCCUUACAAAUGUCUAUGGAAUAUUUAGAGAUGAUGGUAUGGAUCAACAUCCAUGUGUGUUUGCCCUUCACCAUUCUGGUCAUCGCUCUGUGUUUUACAGUACGUUUGGAUCACAUCCCAGCUACCCA